rfam:Leptothrix cholodnii SP-6, complete genome.
GCCCCAGCUAGGCCCGCGAACCGAAGAGCGGGAUUCCUUCCCCCGCCUGCUGGGGCACCUUCUUGGAAGA